rnacentral:lncRNA from 1 species
AACUACUGCACUUAAGAGCUCGCGUCCCAUGGCCAUUGUCAUUCUUGCACGGUUGUGGCAACCUAACUGCACACCAAUCUAGUCUAGGCCAAGAGUGCCUCUAGCACAAAAACUAGGUUUGAAUACUGAAUUUGAACAAAGUACAAUUCUAAAACUUUUCGUUCUACAAUGGAAGUCAUUUUACUUUUAUCUCAAAUCAAAUAUUAUUUUUAUCUUUGAUUAAAUUAUAGAUAAAUACACA